UUCUCACCGGUUAGGGGUUUUGAGUCAGCUAUGCGGGGGGGAAGGUUUGAGAAAUGGCCUCUGGGGCCACAGUGCGGGAAAGGCUCACUUUAGCUAACAAUGCUGAGGCGGGCAGGGCUGAGCAGUCCCAGGGUGUGUUGUCACUUGUCUCUUGUGCUUUCUGUAUCUUCUGUACAUCUCGUGUAACAUAUCUCUUGUCUUAGCCCUCCCAGGAGCUUAUGAGAAACCCCAGGUCCUUCCGUUCAUCUCCCAUCUUUGCGUUCCUCGGCCCGACUCCGGCGAAGCUUCUAUGCGGGAGUUCGGACAGGCGUCAGAAUCGUAUCUGUCUUUAGAAGCACGCGAUCGGAUGUUUCCUUAGGUCUCGUUCUCAGCUGUGUCAACAGCUAUAUGCAGCAGUGUUUCUUUCCAGCGGAUAAGGACUUGUGCCGAUUCAAAGGCAGGCAGAGGCUUCCAGCCACAGGAUUCUCGGGCAUCCGUCUCUGCGGUUCUUGGAAAAUAGUUGUUCCGUUAGCGUCUUUUUCCUCCAGGGUCAUCCGAGCCCAACAGGCUCGCCUCGGGUCCCUCCUCAGUCAUCUCGUUCAGCAUUCUCUCGGUCCUCGUCAGGACUUUCUUGUCUCAGAGAGUUUUCUCUCCCUGUCACGUCCCCUCGUCUCAUGUGUCACGGGUGUCUGGGGGUAUUUGGUCCGGAGCUGCUCUGCCCUGCCGCCCAGCCUGGUUGUAGGUGUUUAAGGACAAGUCCCGGGCACUUGUAAUUGGAGAUUUGUAAUACGGGCUGUAGUUGGAGUCUAGGUAGUAUUCUUAUGUUGGCAGCAGGUGUCUGGAACUCUGAAGUUACCCUGCAGCACUUUGACUUUUUUCCUAACUUUCUUUCACAUGCAGGCGGAUUGACCUCAUGGCAGAGCGCUGCAUCCCAGAUGAUGGGGGUCCCCCUGAGAAGGAAGUAAAGCCGGAAAGCAGCGGGGAAGGCGAAGCAGGUGGAAGGCUGCCUCGUGAUGCUGUGCUGAGGCCCCCUCACUGACCUGCCAAGAGACCCGGUUUGCUUCUCUGGCGUACCCUGCGACGACGGCAUCCGCCUCGGAGCGUGGCCGAAAUGUGUGGCCGGAGGACCCGGGAGUUCCUAAGAGACGGUGAUGAUACUUGUCUGAGACAACAGCCUGGUGAGAGAAGAACUUCACAGACAGCGAGGUGGCUUUGUUUGGCUCCCGAGCGGCCUCUCGCUGUGACUCACAUCUUCAGCCCUCUGAGAGAUAAGUGGAGCCCGCAGAGGGGAUCAAAGCAGGGCGGCGGUCGGGACUGAGAUCGGUUUGGGUUUUUGAGUGAGCUUUGGGGAUGGGGAGGUUCUGGAAAUGACCCCAUAGGCCCCAGUGAGGGAAAGCCUCACUUUGGUUCGCAAUGCUGAGGCAGGCAGGGCAGAGCAGUCUCAGGGUGUGUUGUCACUUGUCUCGCGUGCCUU